CCACCCUGUUUCAGAAACCACUUUGUGGACAAACACAUGCAACCCCUUCCACAGAGGACCUUCCUUGGCGGGGGCCCCUCAAGCCUCAGUUUCGUCCUCUGUAAGGAGGGUCUAGCAACACACACCUCAUAGGGCUGCUGAGAGAUCAAAAUGAGAUGAGGAGAUAGAUGCAUGCAGUAGGCACUCAACAUCUGCUCUCUCAAAGAAGUAUUUACCAACUCAAACUUGUAACAUUCUUCAGGGAAGCUGGUGGGGUGGAGGCGGUGGCUCCUGCUAGGUGUUCACAACUCAAGAUACCCAAGGACAGAAGAGUGGCCUAUUCUCACAGUGGGCCACGAGGCAAAGGAGGCUGACUCUGGGCUGUGGUCACCUCAGCCAUGCAGGCAGCCAGCCAGUGACCAGAGGGGACACUUGGGCAUCAUCCCUGCCCCAGCCAGCCUUUGUCCCAAAGCUUCUCUUCUUUCCCUGUGGAAAGUUCGAGAGGAAUGUGGAUGUCCAGCUUCUGCCCUGAAGCCAGCUUGACAGGGCAGCUUACAGGUGAGAAAACUGAGGUUUGGAGCGGGUGCCCGGCUUGCCCAUCGCCACACAGCUGGGAGCAGAACUGGGACUGGAGCCAGAUAUGUGUCCUCUCCGCUGCCCUAGUCACUCAGGAUGCCAAUGCACCAAGUUUACCAACUCUCAAGUCCUAUCUUCAAGCAAGUCCACAGGAAGAAGCAAGGGGAAAACCUUCCCUUGUCUGAAGAACCUAGCAUCCUGAAGUUCCACAUCCUUUUGUGAAGCUUCCUGCCUACUCUCCAGGUCCUGUGGGGGAAUGGCCUCAGGGGCAGCUUCACAAAGUAGGGGGAAAGGAGCACAGAGGAAACCUGCCAGAGGUCCAGCCCUGCCCAGGAGCGGCUCUCCUUAAACACAAAGCAUCCCCAGGAAGGAAGGCAACAGAAAUGGGCUUCUAAUGUCACGUAAGGGAUGCAGAAGAAAUUACUGUGAAAAAAAAAAUGUAUU